AUUUUUGGAUCCUUACGCAAGGUUUCUUAAAUUACGAUUGUACUUAUCAUAGUUGAUUAUGGUUAAAUAGGUCCUUUUAUAUAACCUAAAUCUUGCACCCUGCGAUUUAAUGUAUAGUUCUGUUUAAAUGACUCUGGUUGUUGGUUGUUGCGAAGUUCCCAGUAGCCGAAAGGUUUUUUCAAUAAAUACUAUGUGCAGUGCUAAGACCAUUUAGACCUUGGGUUGCGACAAUUGUGGUUGUAAAGGAGAACCUGGUUGGAUUCUUGCGAAUUGGGAGGAUUCCACGACCCAAGUUUUAAUUUUCCACUUUUCGAAAAGGGGAUUUUUUUAAGCUGAGAAAAAAAUCAUAUGGUUCUCUAGAAGAGAUAACACAUAACAGCACUGUCAGUCUGUCACAUUUCCACCUUGUAAAGAGACAUGUUUAGGUGUCUGGAAGCUAAUGAAAUCAGAUUCAAGUUUGCUGCUUAAUUAUUUACAUGUAACACUUAAUUUUUUAAAGAUGGAUUUUCAUUAUACAUCACUUGGAUAGUACAGUAUAUUUGCACAUUAUUUCUUCCUUUUUUUAUUUUGCUGUGAUACAAUGCUAUGAGUUCUUCAGGUUAUGGCCUCUAUCAACAGCCUUACAGUUUGUGCUUUAUAAAUAUGUUAACUCCUGAGAUGACAUUCUAAUUGAAAGUCUUGGAAAUUUCUGUGCUUUGUGCUAGUCUGCACAAUGCUGGUUUUCUUGCUUCUUCCUGCUUCUUGGAUCAAGGAACAUUGGAUAUCUGAUUCUAAUCAAGUGUCAUUGAAAAGAUUGUACUUGUAUAAAGAUGUUUAAGGUAUUUGUCAUAAUCAUAUUAGAAAAGUAACUUAUUUGGUAUCCUUAUAUCAGCAGGCAAUCAUAGGAUUCUAAAAGUUGGUGGAUGGUACAUUUGUUUCUCAGUGUUCCAAGAACAUAUAUUUCAGUUCCUUGCAUCAUACUUUCACAACUUAGGAUGGACAAUUCCCGUCUGCCGAUAUGACGAGGCUGAACAUCACACAAUUCUAGUGACUUAAAACACACCAAAAAGCAUUGUGUUAGUAUUUCUUGUUGAGCCUUAUAGAAAACGGAAAUUUGAUAUGCAAGUUGAGUUUCCCAUGAAAGAAAUCCUAUCAUACUCGCCAGGAACAUGCCUAGCAGACGCACAAAUUUCCCAUAGGAUUAAUAAUUGAUCGUGAAAUAUUGUUGAAUCUUGGGGUUGGCAACAAAAAUGACUUUACGAAAGCUUCUAUCGGAAAUCCCCUAGAAUUUUAUAAGUUUCGAAGCAAGACUUUUUACACUAAGUUGUGUGUUGAAAACAUUUCCGCGUUUGAACUUGAAUAAACUUGAAUCUUCAUUCAA